AGUUGGACUAGCGACGCACAAUUCCUUCAACUACCAUUCUUCGACACCAGCGCCCAUUCUUCUCCAUCCAUCGAUGACCACCUCUCGCUGUAUCUUUUUUGCCUUUCUCUAUUAAUACUCCGCCUCUUAUGUCCCUUCAAUUUCACACACAGUUGCCCUGCCUAGACUCAAAAGAUUAUAAUUUUUUUUUUUUGCUCUUAGUUAUGGCUGACUCGGAUCACUCCUCUAGUGAUGAUCUCUCUGUUGAUUCUAGAGAUACCAGCCAAGAUACCAAGCUUGAAUUCUCAGAAGACGAGGAAACUCUUAUUACUAGGAUGUACAAUCUGGUUGGUGAGAGGUGGACUUUAAUUGCUGGGAGGAUUCCUGGAAGAACAGCAGAGGAAAUUGAGAAGUACUGGACUUCAAGAUACUCUACAAGUCAGUAAAUUAGGGAUCUACGUCCAAGGUCCUGUCUGAUGUCCUAGAGUUGUCAAAAUUUUGGCUGGUUUGUAACAAAAUCUGGUUCUACUUAGGAACUGCAAUAUGGGGGUUUAGCUGUGAUCAAAAUAUCUGUACAAUGGUUUUUCAAUGCGGUAAUGGUAGUUAAUUAAUGUUUGGCAGCGUAGAUUGUAAGAUGAAAUCUGCUUGUUAAUAUGGUAAAUUGAGAAAUUUUUACAUGAACCUAGACACCCUUUUAUUUGGUC